AUUGAACGCUGGCGGCAUGCUUUACACAUGCAAGUCGAACGGUAACAGGCCUUCGGGCGCUGACGAGUGGCGAACGGGUGAGUAACGCAUCGGAACGUGCCCAGUCGUGGGGGAUAACGCAGCGAAAGCUGUGCUAAUACCGCAUACGAUCUGCGGAUGAAAGCGGGGGACCCUCGGGCCUCGCGCGAUUGGAGCGGCCGAUGUCAGAUUAGGUAGUUGGUGGGGUAAAGGCCCACCAAGCCAACGAUCUGUAGCUGGUCUGAGAGGACGACCAGCCACACUGGGACUGAGACACGGCCCAGACUCCUACGGGAGGCAGCAGUGGGGAAUUUUGGACAAUGGGCGCAAGCCUGAUCCAGCAAUGCCGCGUGCAGGAAGAAGGCC
rnacentral:rRNA from 1 species